UUUUUUUGAGAAUUUGAUCCUGGUUCAGGAUGAACGCUGGCGGUGUGCUUUAGGUAUGCAAGUCGAUCGGUCUGUAAGACCGAACAGUUAACAAUUCAACAGUUAACCAAUUAACAAAUUUACCAAUUAACUACAAAGUUAAAAGUCAAUAUUGUUAAUUUGUCAAUUUGUUGCAUUCGUUGAAGGUUCUGUCUUACAGACAGAGGCGGACGGGUGAGUAAUGUACAAGAAUCUACCCUCGACCGGAAAAUAACCUGUCGAAAGACGGGCUAAUGUUCCAUGAAGACUCCGGUUUAAAGCGAUUAACUUCGCGGUUGAGGAGGAGCUUGUAUCCUAUCAGCUAGUUGGUAAGGUAAUGGCUUACCAAGGCGAUGACGGGUAGCUGGACUGAGAGGUCGGUCAGCCACAACUGCACUGAGACACGGGCAGUACACCUACGGGUGGCAGCAACUAGGAAU
rnacentral:rRNA from 1 species